UAUGGGUUUGUUAUUGUUUGGUAUCUUUCUAUUCUACAAUAAAUCACUUAUUUUCUAUUUAUAUUUUAGAUAUUUUAUCUCCACAAUCAAAUGCUGGCGAAACCGAGGGCGAAACGGUCCUAUGUGAUCGUAGUCCUUUAGACUUAAUCGACAGCGAUGUCCUGGUGAAUCAACAGAAAGACGUAGUGGUAGAAGUUAUUGAAAAUAUUGAAACUUCAGAUCCACAAUCAAAUAUUAAGGAAACAGUCAUAUAUGAUUGUUGUCUUUUAAUUUAACCGAACAGAAUAACGUAGUAGCAGUUAUUAAAAAUAUAGAAACUUCAUAUCCAGGAUCAAAUGAGAAAUUAGAUUUACUGGAAAUGGGGAAUCGACAUAACCAAGUAGU